AUAACUCUCAAAACAACGAUACUUUAAUCAAAGAGCUUAAAAUCGCUCUGAAAUCCGUAAGGGAACAACAAAAUUCGGCCAAAAUAUAUCCGCGUGCCGGGUUUGCUGUGCAAAAUGCGGAAGUCGUUGAACAACUCAAAAUACACCCAACCCUGAUUGGACAACGAAUAUCAACAAACAUUUCAAAUUUUUUUAACAGUACUGUAAUAAUUUCAAUCAUGCAAUCAAAACUAUUCACAAACGUUAUAAAGUGUAAAUAUUACUGCAUGUAAAU
rnacentral:lncRNA from 1 species